UACGAAGGGGGCUAGCGUUGCUCGGAAUCACUGGGCGUAAAGGGUGCGUAGGCGGGUCUUUAAGUCCGGGGUGAAAUCCUGGAGCUCAACUCCAGAACUGCCUUUGAUACUGAAGAUCUUGAGUUCGGGAGAGGUGAGUGGAACUGCGAGUGUAGAGGUGAAAUUCGUAGAUAUUCGCAAGAACACCAGUGGCGAAGGCGGCUCACUGGCCCGGUACUGACGCUGAGGUGCGAAAGCGUGGGGAGCAAACAGG
rnacentral:rRNA from 1 species